UACGGAGGGUGCAAACGUUAAUCGGAAUUACUGGGCGUAAAGCGCGCGUAGGCGGUUUGUUAAGUGGGAUGUGAAAGCCCCGGGCUUAACCUGGGAACUGCAUUCCAAACUGACAGGCUAGAGUUUGGUAGAGGGAGGUGGAAUUUCCUGUGUAGCGGUGAAAUGCGUAGAUAUAGGAAGGAACACCAGUGGCGAAGGCGGCCUCCUGGACCAAAACUGACGCUGAGGUGCGAAAGCGUGGGGAGCAAACAGG
rnacentral:rRNA from 1 species